GACGUAGGGUCCAAGCGUUGUCCGGAUUUACUGGGCGUAAAGAGCGCGUAGGCGGUCUGUUAAGUGUGAAGUGAAAUCUUGGGGCUCAACCCCGAAACUGCUUUACAUACUGGCAGACUGGAGGGAUGCAGAGGUUUGUGGAAUUCCUGGUGUAGCGGUGAAAUGCAUUGAUAUCAGGAGGAACACCCAUGGCGAAGGCAGCAAACUGGGCAUCAUCUGACGCUGAGGCGCGAAAGCGUGGGUAGCAAACAGGAUUAGAUACCCUGGUAGUCCACGCCCUAAACGAUGGAUACUAGGCGUAAGAGGUAUCGACCCCUCUUGUGCCGCAGCUAACGCAUUAAGUAUCCCGCCUGGGGAGUACGGCCGCAAGGUUGAA
rnacentral:rRNA from 1 species